GAUGAACGCUGGCGGCGUGCCUAAUACAUGCAGGUCGAGCGAACGGACGAGAAGCUUGCUUUUCUGAUGUUAGCGGCGGACGGGUGAGUAACACGUGGAUAACCUACCUAUAAGACUGGGAUAACUUCGGGAAACCGGAGCUAAUAUCGGAUAAUAUUUUGAACCGCAUGGUUCAAAAGUGAAAGACGGUCUUGCUGUCACUUAUAGAUGGAUCCGCGCUGCAUUAGCUAGUUGGUAAGGUAACGGCUUACCAAGGCAACGAUGCAUAGCCGACCUGAGAGGGUGAUCGGCCACACUGGAACUGAGACACGGUCCAGACUCCUACGGGAGGCAGCAGUAGGGAAUCUUCCGCAAUGGGCGAAAGCCUGACGGAGCAACGCCGCGUGAGUGAUGAAGGUCUUCGGAUCGUAAAACUCUGUUAUUAGGGAAGAACAUAUGUGUAAGUAACUGUGCACAUCUUGACGGUACCUAAUCAGAAAGCCACGGCUAACUACGUG
rnacentral:rRNA from 1 species